UUUUAGAAUUUAAUUUAAAGUCUAACCUGCCCACUGAAUAUUUAAAUGGCCGCAGUAUCUUAACUGUGCAAAGGUAGCAUAAUAAUUAGUCUUUUAAUUAAAGGCUGGAAUGAAUGGUUGGAUGAAAUAUUAACUGUUUCAUAAAAAUUUUUAAUAAAAUUUUAUUUUUUAGUUAAAAAGCUAAAAUAAAAUUAAAAGACGAGAAGACCCUAUAAAUCUUUAUAUUUAUAUGAUUUUAAUUAUUUAGAUUAAUUUAAUUAAAUUUACUUUAAAUAUUUUAUUGGGGUGAUAUUAAAAUUUAAUUAACUUUUAAUAAAAAUUAAACAAUAAUUAAUGAAUUAUUGAUCCAUAAAUUAUGAUUAAAAAAUUAAGUUACUUUAGGGAUAACAGCGUAAUUUUUUUAGAGAGUUCAUAUUGAUAAAAA
rnacentral:rRNA from 1 species